rnacentral:tRNA from 1 species
GAGGCUAUAGCUCAGUGUUAGAGUGCUUGCUUAGCAUGCACAAGGUCCUGGGUUCAAUCCCCAGGACCUCC